GGAAGUCUGGGUGCCUCCUGUCCAGGGUAUAAGCCCUUGAAGGAGCUUUGGAGGGGGAAGGAGCAGGUGUUGCCUGUCGUCCCAGGUCUUCACAGGGCAGGAGUGUGCCUGGUGGUGUGGACCUGGGGCCUCCCCAGGGAAGAGGGUCGGGGAUCAGCAGUGAGAGGAGGAAGAGCUAUGAGUCUGGAAUGAAGAGAUGAGAAGCUGGAGCUUCUGAUGUGAAAAAUAACCCUUCAGCCACAGCUGCAUCACCAGGCACAGGACUGCAUCCUGUGGUUCACCUAGAAUUCUUGACCAAGGCAUCAUCAUGGUGUCCUCCCUCCCUCCCUCCCCGUGUUCUCUCCUGGCCCCCCUGCCAUCUGCUACCCAAUCUCCAGUAGCCCAGCCAC
rnacentral:lncRNA from 1 species